UACGUAGGGGGCAAGCGUUGUCCGGAAUCAUUGGGCGUAAAGCGCGUGUAGGCGGCCAGGUAAGUCCGUUCUGAAAGCCCGGGGCUCAACCCCGGGAGGCGGAUGGAUACUGCUUGGCUCGAGUCCGGAAGAGGCGAGUGGAAUUCCCGGUGUAGCGGUGAAAUGCGCAGAUAUCGGGAGGAACACCAAUGGCGAAGGCAGCUCGCUGGGACGGUACUGACGCUGAGACGCGAAAGCGUGGGGAGCAACAGG
rnacentral:rRNA from 1 species